rnacentral:rRNA from 1 species
CCCAACAAGGGCACUGCGACACGGGCCCUACUCCUACGGGAGGCAGCAGUCGAGAAUAUUGGGCAAUGGGGGAAACCCUGACCCUGCGACGCCGCGUGCUCGAAGAAGCCCUUCGGGGUGUAAAGAGCUUUUCUAAGGGAAGAACCUUCGGGUGACGGUACCUUAGGAAUAAGGGGGUGCUAACUCUGUGCCAGCAGCAGCGGUAAUACAGAGCCCCCAAGCGUUAUCCGGAUUUAUUGGGCGUAAAGCGUCUGUAGGCGCUCCGUCAGGUUUUCUGUUAAAUCUCUAGGGCUUAACCUUAGAGCUGCAGAAAAAACCGGCGGAGUAGAGGGCGUUAGAGGCUGAUGGAAUGGUCGGUGUAGGGGUGAAAUCCGUUGAUAUCGACCGGAACACCAAAUGCGAAGGCAUUCAGCUGGGGCGACCCUGACGCUGAGAGACGAAAGCGUGGGUAGCAAAAAGGAUUAGAUACCCUUGUAGUCCACGCUGUAAACGAUGGACACUGGCUAUCUGAAGUGUCGACCCUUCAGGUGGCGAAGCUAACGCGUUAAGUGUCCCGCCUGGGAAGUACGACGGCAACGUUAAAACUCAAAGGAAUAGACGGGGAUUCACACAAGCGGUGGACCAUGUGGCUCAAUUCGACGACAAACGAGGAACCUUACCAGGGCUUGACAGGCUAGUGAAAAGUUGAGGAAACUCGACUCUACCCACAAGGACACUAGCCCAGGUGCUGCAUGGUUGUCGUCAGCAUGUAUCUUGAGACGCUCCCUUAAAUGGGGUAACAUGCGCAACCCUUGCCCUAUGUUUAAUUUGUCAUAG